UGUGUGCGUGCGUGCGUGCAUGUGCGUGCAUGUGUGUGUGUGUGUGCUGGCACCAACACAAGUUCUGUUCAGAAGGCAGAGGUCGGGCCCCAUCCAAGCUCACCUUCCGCCCCGAUGGAGACCAGCUUGACUCCUUUACUGGCGAUGAAGUCCAGUGCUUUGUUCACAUUGUUGAUUUUG